CCAGUCAUAAGACCACCGAGAAUGCUGCAGCUGUAGUUGCUGGGGGCGGGGAUGGGGUCCCAGGAUGGGGGAUCGCUCUAUUGGUACUGGCUGCCCUGAUCUUGUUAAUCCUCCUUAUUCUCCUAAUACUGCUGCUAGUGUGGUUGUGCUGUAGGCAGAGAUACGGAAGCUUCAGCCCAUAUGACCAGAUCAACCACGGGGCAAACAUCCAAAUGUACUCCACACACAGCCGCUUCGACGUGCCCAACGGCAAGCCUAAUGACGAAAUGGAUGAACCAUUGAAAAACCAAACAGGGAUGUAUGUGGUGAACAAGUGAGCUAACAACUAAGAGGUUCUGACACACAGAAGCUCCAGUCAAUUGGGUAAGAAGACCAUCUGAAAUGGCUUUUAGAAGUAAUGGGAGCAAUGACAAUUCUGUACAAAUGGUCCAAUUAUCUCUGAAGUAUCUGAAUGAAGAUCAUGGUGUUGGCUCACUGAUUGUAAUUUCAACCUGCAUUUAUUUUGUCCUAAUGUUAUUUUAUUCCUAAUGUUUUUACCAGUGGAGGCUGCUAAUGGGAGGACGGCUCAUAAUAAUGGCUGGAAUGGAGUCAAUGGAAUGGUAUCAAACACAUGGUUUCCAAUUAUUAUGAGCCAUCCUCCCCUCAGCAGCCACCGCUGGUUUUUACAGUACACAUCUUCAUAUGGUUUUAUAUACUCUGUAAAGUAGCUCUAACCCUUGGUGCAAUAUGGUGGAAACUCCAACUAGCCUGCUAGACAGCUUGAUCUACAAGCAGCAUCUAGGCUUUGGGACUAUUAAUUUUGGGUCAAUGUUAGUCAGUCGCUGCAAUGUGGUCUCAGGUCAAUUCGUAUUAUUAUGAAUGUACAUCUGUGACACCUUAUUUAGUAUGAUAUAUUACAUUAUGUUAGGUUACAUUAUGAAUGGAAUAGCGGUCAUACCAUAUCAUAUGAAUUAUAGGUUGUAUAGUAUAAUACAUUUUAGCUGGUAGGAAACGGUUUACGAAUUGAAGGACGUAUAGUAUUAUACGACUUUAUUUGAGACCAGGUUGCAUGUUGUGCUGUAACGGAGAGUUACGGAGAAUUUACAUUGGUUUAGAGCAGGGUUCUUCAAUUCCGGUCCUGGAGGGCCGAAACACCUCUGUUUUUCAUCCUCUCCU